rnacentral:rRNA from 1 species
GGUUAAGCGACUAAGCGUACACGGUGGAUGCCCUGGCAGUCAGAGGCGAUGAAGGGCGUGCUAAUCUGCGAUAAGCGCCGGUAAGGUGAUAUGAACCGUUAUAACCGGCGAUACCCGAAUGGGGAAACCCAGUGUGACUCGUCACACUAUCAUUAACUGAAUCCAUAGGUUAAUGAGGCGAACCGGGGGA